rnacentral:rRNA from 1 species
AUGAACGCUGGCGGCAUGCCUAAUACAUGCAAGUCGAACGAAGUCUUUAGGAAGCUUGCUUCCAAAGAGACUUAGUGGCGAACGGGUGAGUAACACGUAGGUAACCUGCCCAUGUGCCCGGGAUAACUGCUGGAAACGGUAGCUAAAACCGGAUAGGUAUGAGGGAGGCAUCUUCCUCAUAUUAAAGCACCUUCGGGUGUGAACAUGGAUGGACCUGCGGCGCAUUAGCUGGUUGGUGAGGUAACGGCCCACCAAGGCGAUGAUGCGUAGCCGACCUGAGAGGGUGAACGGCCACAUUGGGACUGAGACACGGCCCAAACUCCUACGGGAGGCAGCAGUAGGGAAUUUUCGUCAAUGGGGGGAACCCUGAACGAGCAAUGCCGCGUGUGUGAAGAAGGUCUUCGGAUCGUAAAGCACUGUUGUAAGUGAAGAAUGCCACAUAGAGGAAAUGCUAUGUGGGUGACGGUAGCUUACCAGAAAGCCACGGCUAACUACGUGCCAGCAGCCGCGGUAAUACGUAGGUGGCAAGCGUUAUCCGGAAUCAUUGGGCGUAAAGGGUGCGUAGGUGGCACGAUAAGUCUGAAGUAAAAGGCAACAGCUCAACUGUUGUAUGCUUUGGAAACUGUCGAGCUAGAGUGCAGAAGAGGGCGAUGGAAUUCCAUGUGUAGCGGUAAAAUGCGUAGAUAUAUGGAGGAACACCAGUGGCGAAGGCGGUCGCCUGGUCUGUAACUGACACUGAUGCACGAAAGCGUGGGGAGCAAAUAGGAUUAGAUACCCUAGUAGUCCACGCCGUAAACGAUGAGAACUAAGUGUUGGAGAGAUUCAGUGCUGCAGUUAACGCAAUAAGUUCUCCGCCUGGGGAGUAUGCACGCAAGUGUGAAACUCAAAGGAAUUGACGGGGGCCCGCACAAGCGGUGGAGUAUGUGGUUUAAUUCGAAGCAACGCGAAGAACCUUACCAAGUCUUGACAUCCCUUGACGAACAUAGAAAUAUGUUUUCUCUUCGGAGCAAGGAGACAGGUGGUGCAUGGUUGUCGUCAGCUCGUGUCGUGAGAUGUUGGGUUAAGUCCCGCAACGAGCGCAACCCUUGUCUUCUGUUACCAGCAUUAAGUUGGGGACUCAGGAGAGACUGCCGGUGACAAACCGGAGGAAGGUGGGGAUGACGUCAAAUCAUCAUGCCCCUUAUGGCCUGGGCUACACACGUACUACAAUGGCGCCUACAAAGAGCAGCGACACCGCGAGGUGGAGCGAAUCUCAUAAAGGGCGUCUCAGUUCGGAUUGAAGUCUGCAACUCGACUUCAUGAAGUCGGAAUCGCUAGUAAUCGCAGAUCAGCAUGCUGCGGUGAAUACGUUCUCGGGCCUUGUACACACCGCCCGUCAAACCAUGGGAGUUGGUAAUACCCGAAGCCGGUGGCAUAACCGCAAGGAGUGAGCCGUCGAAGGUAGGACCGAUGACUGGGGUU